CCCGAUAGCUCGGGACGAAAUGUGGUCGAAAGAGGCGCGACGCGCCUCCCGAGGCGGCGGAGCCGCCGACAUUCGACUGAAUCGCAAG
rnacentral:ncRNA from 1 species